GAAUGAAAAGACAGCUUACAUACUGGGAGAAAAUAUUUGCAAAUCACAGUCCAGUAAAGAGCUUUAUCUCCAAUAUAUAAAGAACUGUUGGAACUCAAUAGGAAGAUUGACUUCUGGCAUAACAGCAUGAGGAGUUCUGCUGACACAUUCCCCAGUGAAACUAGUGAAAGUUACUAUUUUUUUUCUGUCUAUGCUGCUUGAAGGAGAAAAAAAGUAUUAAAAUCUCCAACCGUUUAGAGUCUCUGGAAAUGGUCCUGAGGACAAAGAGAAAAUGAAGAAACAUCUCUUUUAGAAAAUUUAGUAAGAAAGGUGAGAUUCUGUGAUAUUUGAACCAAGACUUCUUCUACACUCUCAUCCCCCAGCUCAGUGAGGUAGUGACUCCACUCUAGAUAACUGCAGCCAAGAACACAAGGAUCUUUUUUUUUUUCCCCCCAGGAGAGAUAGGACUUUAGCAGUUCUCAUCCUGCCACUUGUUGCCUGUUGCUGAGGUUAAAUCCCAGGUGAAUGUGAUUGAGAGGUGGAAGCUCCCUUCUUCUACCCAACUCUUACUCUUGGAAUGGAGGUUCUACCUUGGGUGUAGCAUACAGAGAAUAUUGGGUCCUUAUAACCCUUCCCCAUACAGAGAAUAUUGGGCCCUUAUUAAGGUGGUAGGUCCAUGCCAGAAGAGACAAGCUGAGAGGACCAGAUUACAGCCACUCCUCAUUCCCACUGAAUUCUCAGCUCCUAGUAGGUGAGAAUCACUUGGAGAGAAGCCUGCCAUUGUCCUCACUCUCCAGCUCCAAAGUCAGGGAAAGAUGGAAAGGAGCCCUACCAGUACCACUGUCAUCCCAAGGUGACUGUAGGCAUACCCAAGCUGUACCAUCCUGAACAGCAACAUCAGAGGCUGGACACUGUAGGGGAGGAAUAGACUUCACUAAAAUAAUUCAACCAGUCACUAGACAAGCAGACAAGCAACAACAAGGCUCAGAGUGGGGUAAUCAUUAUCCAGCAUUACUGCAAUAUAUUAUCUAAAAUAUUCAGUUUCCAACAAAAAAAUUUUUGAGUCAUGCAAGGAAACAGUAAAGUGUGACCCAUGCACUGAAAAAAAACAAAAGCAUAAAAUAAAAAUAACGAGGCAACAGAAACUGCCCAUGAGAGUGGUCAGAUGUUGGCUUUAAUAGGAAAUGAUUUUAAAGUAACCAUUAUAAAUAUGUUCACAGAACUGAAGGAAAGCUUGACUAAAAAAGUUAAAGGAAGGUAUAGUGAUAAUGUUGCAUCAAAUAGAGAAUAUCAGUAAAGAUAGAAUUUUUAAUGGAAAUUCUGGAGUUUAAAGUACAAUAACUAAAAUUUAAAAAUUUAUUAGAAGGCCUCGACAAUAGAUUUGAAUUGCCAGAAGAAAGAAUUUCUGAGCUUGAGAAUUGGUCAAUAGAGAUUAUGCACUCCAAA
rnacentral:lncRNA from 1 species